rnacentral:rRNA from 1 species
UCCCUAUCUGCCGUGGGUGUAGGAGACUUGAUGGGAGUUGCCCCUAGUACGAGAGGACCGGGGUGAACGAUCCACUGGUGGAUCUGUUGUUGCGCCAGCAGCAGUGCAGAGUAGCUAUGAUCGGACAGGAUAACCGCUGAAGGCAUCUAAGCGGGAAGCCCCCCCCCAGAAACAAGGUCUCCCUUGAGGGCCGUGGAAGACCACCACGUCGAUAGGUCGGAGAUGUAAGUGCUGUAAAGCAUUCAGUUGACCGAUACUAAUUGCCCGAUAGGCUUGAUUUG